AAAAAUAACGAUACGGGACUCUAUUGAGGCCCCGUAAUCGGAAUGAGUACACUUUAAAUCCUUUAACAAGGAUCCAUUGGAGGGCAAGUCUGGUGCCAGCAGCCGCGGUAAUUCCAGCUCCAAUAGCGUAUAUUAAAGUUGUUGCGGUUAAAAAGCUCGUAGUUGGUUCUGCGUGCCGCGCUGUCGGUUCGCCGCCUGUCGGUGUAACUGGCAUGUCGCGGCAUGUCCUGUCGGUGGUGAACGGAGUCCACAAUGCUACAUAGGCUUUAUAGCCGAUGUUAGCAUCGUGUGUACUUCCGUUGGCCGAUCUCUCCUACUUCGGUGCUCUUAAACGAGUGUCGAGGUAGGCCGACACGUUCACUUUGAACAAAUUAGAGUGCUUAAAGCAGGCUGAAAUAUCUGCCUGAAUAGUGGUGCAUGGAAUGAUAAAACAGGACCUCGGUUCUAUUUUGUUGGUUUUAGGAAUAUGAGGUAAUGAUCAAUGUGGACUGGCGGGGGCAUUCGUAUUGCGACGUUAGAGGUGAAAUUCUUGGAUCGUCGCAAGACGCACUAGAGCGAAAGCAUUUGCCAAGUAUGUCUUAAUUGAUCAAGAACGAAAGUUAGAGGUUCGAAGGCGAUCAGAUACCGCCCUAGUUCUAACCAUAAACGAUGCCAGCCAGCGAUCCGCCGAUGUUCCUUUAAUGACUCGGCGGGGAGCUUCCACCCGGGAAACCAAAGCUUUUGGGUUCCGGGGGAAGUAUGGUUGCAAAGCUGAAACUUAAAGGAAUUGACGGAAGGGCACCACCAGGAG
rnacentral:rRNA from 1 species